rnacentral:rRNA from 1 species
GUGGGGAAUUUUGGACAAUGGGCGCAAGCCUGAUCCAGCAAUGCCGCGUGUGUGAAGAAGGCCUUCGGGUUGUAAAGCACUUUUGGCAGGAAAGAAAUAGUGCGUGCUAAUACCAUGCGCGAAUGACGGUACCUGCAGAAUAAGCACCGGCUAACUACGUGCCAGCAGCCGCGGUAAGACGUAGGGUGCAAGCGUUAAUCGGAAUUACUGGGCGUAAAGCGUGCGCAGGCGGAUUUGUAAGACAGGUGUGAAAUCCCCGGGCUCAACCUGGGAACUGCACUUGUGACUGCAAGGCUAGAGUGUGUCAGAGGGAGGUGGAAUUCCGCGUGUAGCAGUGAAAUGCGUAGAGAUGCGGAGGAACACCGAUGGCGAAGGCAGCCUCCUGGGAUAACACUGACGCUCAGGCACGAAAGCGUGGGGAGCAAACAGGAUUAGAUACCCCAGUAGUCC